UGAGGAAUAUUGGUCAAUGGACGCAAGUCUGAACCAGCCAAGUAGCGUGCAGGAUGACGGCCCUAUGGGUUGUAAACUGCUUUUAUAUGGGGAUAAAGUGGGGAACGUGUUCCCUUUUGCAGGUACCAUAUGAAUAAGGACCGGCUAAUUCCGUGCCAGCAGCCGCGGUAAUACGGAAGGUUCGGGCGUUAUCCGGAUUUAUUGGGUUUAAAGGGAGCGUAGGCCGUUUGGUAAGCGUGUUGUGAAAUGUAGGAGCUCAACUUCUAGAUUGCAGCGCGAACUGUCAGACUUGAGUACGCACAACGUAGGCGGAAUUCAUGGUGUAGCGGUGAAAUGCUUAGAUAUCAUGAAGAACUCCGAUUGCGAAGGCAGCUUACGGGAGCGCAACUGACGCUGAAGCUCGAAGGUGCGGGUAUCGAACAGG
rnacentral:rRNA from 1 species